GACGAACGCUGGCGGCGUGCCUAAUACAUGCAAGUCGAACGCUGAAGGAGGAGCUUGCUUCUCUGGAUGAGUUGCGAACGGGUGAGUAACGCGUAGGUAACCUGCCUGGUAGCGGGGGAUAACUAUUGGAAACGAUAGCUAAUACCGCAUAAUAGUAGAUGUUGCAUGACAUUUGCUUAAAAGGUGCAGUUGCAUCACUACCAGAUGGACCUGCGUUGUAUUAGCUAGUUGGUGGGGUAAUGGCUCACCAAGGCGACGAUACAUAGCCGACCUGGGAGGGGGAUCGGCCACACUGGGAAUGAGACACGGGCCAGACUCCUACGGGAGGCAGCAGUAGGGAAUCUUCGGCAAUGGACGGAAGUCUGACCGAGCAACGCCGCGUGAGUGAAGAAGGGUUUCGGAUAGUAAAGAUCUGUUGUAAGAGAAGAACGAGAGUGAGAGUGGAAAGUUCACACUGUGAAGGUAUCUUACCAGAAAGGGACGGCUAACUACGUG
rnacentral:rRNA from 1 species